rnacentral:rRNA from 1 species
AUUGAACGCUGGCGGCAGGCCUAACACAUGCAAGUCGAACGAGUGGCGGACGGGUGAGUAAUGUCUGGGAAACUGCCUGAUGGAGGGGGAUAACUACUGGAAACGGUAGCUAAUACCGCAUACCCUCAGAUGUGCCCAGAUGGGAUGAGCUGGUUGGUGUGGUAACGGCUCACCAAGGCGACGAUCCCUAGCUGGUCUGAGAGGAUGAACAGCCACACGGGAACGGAGACAGGGCCCAGACUCAUACGGGAGGCAGAAGUGGGGAAUAUUGCAAAAUGGGCGAAAGCCUGACGCAGCACUGCCGCGUGUAUGAAGAAGGCCUUCGGGUUGUAAAGUCCUUUCAGCGGGGAGGCGUUACCCGCAGAAGAAGCAACGGCUAACUCCGUGCCAGCAGCCGCGGUAAUAC